rnacentral:rRNA from 1 species
UUGGUUAGGUUGAUGAAGAGCGCAGCCAACUGUGUGAAUUAAUGCAAGGGGCAUACUGUUUGGAACAUGGUCAUGAAGACAGCAUAUUGCGGCCAUGGGUUAGCCUGUGGCCACGCAUGUCCGAGGGUCGGCUUAUAAACUAUCACGCCACCCAAAAAGUAGUGGCUUGGGUUUUGCCAGCUGGCGAGAUCUCCCAUAAGAGUAAUCAUGUGAGGUGCCAGAUUUAUGGCGUUUCCCUAAUGUAUCCGGAUGCACCCUUGUCUUGGCAGAAAGCCGUGGCGAGGCGCAGUGGCGGAAUUGUGGUUCAAUAAAAGGGUGGGUACUCAGUCGUCAGGGUGUUUGGCGAUCCCCUAGUCGGCACACUCAUGAUUUCUGGGAUAAUUCCAUCCCAGUCACAAUCCCAAGCCAUACUUUUUCAUGGGUUGGAUGCUAUCUUGGCCAUGUGUCUGACAGGUGGCCCCAAACGUCCCUACCUCUAUGUCCCCGAGACGGCGCAUACAGGUAGUACGCAGAGUCGGUGAACCG